CGCCCCUGCUGCUGCCCGCGCUUUUUUCUCCAAGGCCACGCACCACCCUUGCGCCGGUUUAGGGCUCUGGCCUGGAGGGUGGUCGCAGGCCCAGGAGAACUGCAGAUCUCGUCAGGUUAUCACCGAUGUUUCUGCGGAAAACAUAUGGGGUGGCUGUCUCCGACCAAAAAAACCAAGCAACAAAACCCUGUGGGGAAGGCGAAAGCCUAGGUCUGCCUUUGCUUGCCACCACACACUCGCGUAGAGACAGGGACCGGGCUGGGGCGCGAGGACCCGGCUCUGCGCGGCCGCCCUGACCCCACACGGAGGAAACGCGCCGGACUGCUCGGGGCGGGGCGCCGGGGACAGGAGGAGCCCGAAGACCAUUACAAACUUAGCCUCGCCUAAGGUUGGGAAUCGAGGCCCUGGCCGACGGAAGACCGAGUGGGACAAUUCCCGACAUUGUCACUUAAACAAUGCUGACUUCUAAUCAGGCCACCUGAGUCAGUGUGCACAGGUGGUGUGGAUAGCCUGUCAUAAACUUCCUGAGAACCCUGAUUUGUUGCCCCUCUGCCACCCUGCCUUGGAGCCAGCCAAUUAUGGACUGAAACCUCUACGAACUGACCUUUGGUUGUACUGGACCCAUGUGGAUAAUCCAGAAUAAUCUCCUGCUUUCAGAUCCUCGAUCAUCUCGGCAGAGUCCUUUUUGUCCUGUCAGGACCUUGCGCUUGUGAGGCAGGCAGUGGAACAACUGAGCUAAAUUCCUGGCCCAUCCACAGCCUAAUUUCAUCCAAGCAGGUUACCAGGACUCAUCCUCUGCUCUGCCACUGGACAUUAUUGUACAUGUGUAAGGCAUUAUACCAUGCCUGAACCUCAUCAAGAAGUGCUUGAAACUGUCAAAAAUUAAGAGCAUGAGCCAUGAUGUAAUUCACCAUUUUUGUGACAUCUUUGAAGAGAUCAUCUGAUUUUUUGCUGCUUUCCCUGGCACAAAGAGCUUCUUGAUGUAUAAUACAAUAAAACUGAAUCACUAGAUGUUUUGCUUUUUUAACAAAGUACUGAAUGAAACCAGAUGUUGCCCCCACCAUGCAAGGUGCCCUGUCACUAGUGAUUGAAAGUACUUUUUCUGGUCUUAUGUCUUGUGACAAAAAGCCUCCGGCACAGCAUUGUAGAUAUUUAUUCCUUGUGUUUUUCCAGCAAAUACACGAGUUUCACCAGCUCUUCUCUCAUGAUGUCACCAACAGCAUAACACAAAACUACUACUAGCCUUGCAUGAUUAUUUGUAUCUGUGCUUUUAUACAAGCACAUGGAGUAACAGACUGCCUUUUGUAAGUCAGUGGUGAGCUGCUAACUAACAGCACUUGGCAUGUGUAGGACUCGAUCUUUAACAGUAUUUCUGCCAAGUGGCAGCUCAGAGAUGCAUUGCAUAAUUUUAUCCUUGUUUGGGAAAUCAUGAAAAAUGGAAUUACUCCCAGACAACAUGGCCAUUUUGAUAAACUCCCCGAUCAGAGAGGGCCUUACCAUGUUUUGCUAUGCACAGUGAAAUUUGAAAGCUAGCAGCUGUCAGAUGAUGUGUUUUAAAUAGUUGCAAAAACUAAAAGACUGGGAAUGACAUUUCCUCAAUUUCCCUUCAAGAAACUCUUUGCUUUCAGUUUCACCAAGUUCAGCAACACUUUUGUGGGUGGUAUCAAAGUGUCAUUUGACACUUGAUGUGUGACAUACAAUACUUUCACUACACAGAAUACAUAAUGCUUUCCCAUUAUGUUUAGUCACUCCAAAUGACUCUGUCUGGGCCUCUUGGAAUGCUCUUCCACUAUCUUUUCAGGGGGUUUUUUGUUUGUUGGUUUGUUUUUUUGCUGUAGUCAUUUCUGGUGUUUGAGUGCUUGGAGUCUACAAAAGCAUUUUUUUUUUUAAAUGAAGCACCCAAUACAAAUCUAUCCCUGUACCAAAAAUAGCUAACACUAAAGAGUUGGAUAUUUCCUGAAUCAACAAUCUAUGGCAGUGAUUCUUAGUUGGGGUUCCUCUUGAAUUUUUGACUAGCAGCUCAAAAGGGCAAUGUUCUACUGAAUACCAGCUUUUGACCUGCUCCAAUGAAAGCAUCUGAAUGCAUUUCCUACCUUGUGGGGGUUUCUGCUAAAAUCACAGCUAGUCCAAGCAAAUAUAUAUCCUUGCUCAUGUUUUCUUAAACUAUUCACAAAUAAAUGUUGGUCUUGAAUGUUGUAGACUCCAAGAGUGCUGAGAUCACAAGCCUCCGCCACCAUACCUGGCUUUAGUGUUGUGUACUUGUACUCUCAAAAUUUUGUGAAGGUUUUAAGUUUAGUCUGUUACUACAAUAAAG